rnacentral:rRNA from 1 species
UACGUAGGGGGCAAGCGUUAUCCGGAUUUACUGGGUGUAAAGGGAGCGUAGACGGCGAUGCAAGCCAGAUGUGAAAGCCCGGGGCUCAACCCCGGGACUGCAUUUGGAACUGUAUAGCUAGAGUGUCGGAGAGGCAGGCGGAAUUCCUAGUGUAGCGGUGAGAUGCGUAGAUAUUAGGAGGAACACCAGUGGCGAAGGCGGCCUGCUGGACGAUGACUGACGUUGAGGCUCGAAAGCGUGGGGAGCAAACAGG